AUUGAACGCUAGCGGGAUGCCUUACACAUGCAAGUCGAACGGCGUCGCGGACGGGUGAGAAAUAUAUCGGAAUGCCCCCAGGAGCGGGGGAUCUACUGUCGACAGUGUGGCUUAUCCCGUAUUCUCGUGGAACCCCAUAUAUGGGAUUAGCUAGUUGGUGGGGUAAAGGCUCACCAAGGCAACGAUCCGUAGCUGGUUUGAGAGGACGACCAGCCACACUGGGACUGAGACACGGCCCAGACUCCUACGGGAGGCAGCAGUGGGGAAUUUUGGACAAUGGGGGAAACCCUGAUCCAGCCAUCCCGCGUGUAUGAUGAAGGCCUUCGGGUUGUAAAGUACUUUUGGCAGAGAAGCGGUAUCUACAGAAUAAGCACCGGCUAACUACGUGCCAGCAGCCGCGGUAAUUC
rnacentral:rRNA from 1 species